UUCUCCUUCAUAACCCUAGUUCUUCAAUUCCCAACAAAAUUGAAGGAGUAAAAGGCUGAGAUUUCAAUGCAUGAGCUAGGAAUCAUGAUCCCCUAAGUGUUAUAAGUGUCAAGCACGAAGAAGGAAGAAGGCGCAAGUCACUCGAAGUCACAAGCAUCUCAAGAUCGCGGUAAAUCCCUUGCUUGAUUGCGACGCGCUCGGACCGAACACACAAUAUCGACUUUUUUUUACACGCUUCCGGUUCAAGUUGUCUAUUAUGUAUGGGUCAAAGUUUUCUUUUUG